CUCUAAAUGACUCGCAUUAAUCCGGGGUGCUUAAAGCGCCAGUAGAAUCCGUUUCUCCGUGCUGAAGAAUGCUUCAUUAGCCGUUAAAUGUGCCCUUGAGACAUGAGGCGUCUCAUGGCCGAUCAUGCUCUCCUGUCUGGAGUAUACGCUGCUGUCACACGAUUGUGUCUUGUGGGCUUUAAGAGUAGAUUUGGGGAAAGGCUGCUGAAGGCUCGUCCGCUCCACACGCCGGGAUUGGUGGAUCUGUCGACGAGGGCAGGACUCUUGCCUUUUGUCGUCAAUGAACGGCUUUUACUGAAGUACACAGUUGCUUCUGUCAACUGACCGAGCGGAGGAACUUUAACUCUUGCGGCGGUCCUGCAUUUGGCAGGGGAAAGUUGUUUUCCUAGACGACGGAGGAUGAGGUCAAGUGUAAACGCUGAAUAGUGGAGCAGUGAGAGGUGUGAUGGUCAUGCUGUGGUGAAGAGGGCACAGUUACGCUGCCAGUGACUGAUUCAGUAAUGACAGAGAGCAAACACUGACCUGUCACUCGCUGACCCGCAAACACUUCAACACUGGGCAGAGGUGAUGAAGUGCAGCAUCUUCCAGCGCAGCCCUGCAGACGUUUAGUUCCAGCUCUGCUCCAAUGCACUAAACCUGUAGGUUUCAAACAAGCCUGAAGGACUCAAUUAGUUUGAUCAGGAGUGUUAUGGUUAAAGAUAAACUGCUGAGAUGUGGCCCUCCAGGAACUGAGUUUGACACUUGGCAUUUUCUCAAUAAGAGUUCUUAUGCGUCCUUGUGUUAUAGUGUAACGUCAUUAUCAACCGCCAAAGUUCA
rnacentral:lncRNA from 1 species